UUUUUUAUAUUUUUAUAUGAUAUCACACAUUCGUAAAAAAAAUAGAUAGUUUAAGAUGCAACAAAAAAAAUAUUUACUUAAUGAAUAUAAUAUGAACGAAUAUUAAAAAUACAUCAUUUAAUAAAAUAAAUAAUUAAAAACUAAAAAUUUAUAUCUGCGCUGGCGCGCAGGUCAGGGUCUAGUUAUUUAUUAUUGCAUCAGGUGUUGAAUAAAAAUUUGACAUAUUUGUAAAAUACCACGAAUUCGCUAGAUGGUUAUUAUUUUCAAAAAAAAGUAUUAAAGAUCUUUAAUCGAUUACAAAAAAAAAUAUCAAAUCAAUAAAAACAAAGAUGGACACUUUAGAUCUAGUUUAAAACCUAAGAACUUUAAACCCUAAUUUUUUUUGUUGAGUUGUGUAGACUGUGAAUGUUUCCUUCUAGGUGACUUCCCUCUGUAUUUAUGAAAGGGAGUUAGCUAGAUCUUUAUUGUUCCUUACGUUGACUUCACUUAUAGUCGAGCCGAAUUCUUUGUCUAAUGGACUUUAAGGAGGGAGCAAAACCCAUCUCUAACAUAAAGACCCCCUCCCAAUUCGAUGUGAGAAAAGAAGUCGAUCUCGACGAGUUAUCAACAACGGGUCUAUGAGACAUUG
rnacentral:lncRNA from 1 species